GAUGAAGAACGCAGCGAAAUGCGAUAAGUAAUGCGAAUUGCAGAAUUCCAGUGUGUCAUCGAAUCUUUGAACGCACAUUGCGCCCUUUGGUAUUCCGAAGGGCAUGCCUGUUCGAGCGUCAUUAUCACCCCUCAAGCCCUCGGCUUGGUGUUGGACGGUUUGGUGGAGGCCCCCUCGGGGGCUCCUGCCCCUCCCAAAGACAAUGACGGCGGCCUCGUUGGACCCCCGGUACACUGAGUUCUUCACGGGACACGUAUCGGACACAUGGGUUUACGGGACACGGUCUGCCUCCCCUCAGGGAGAAUCUUUCUAAGGUUGACCUCGGAUCAGGUAGGGAUACCCGCUGAACUUAAGCAUAUCAAUAAGCGGAGGA
rnacentral:misc_RNA from 1 species